CCCCUCUGGCAUAUACUCUUAUAAUCAAACGACAGGAGAAUACAGCUCAGUAUAGUCACGCUUUGCAACCGGCUAAGUUAUUUAUACUCCAGCGUUAUUAACACUUAAAAAAGAAAAUGAAAACAACUAUUGCUGUUAUCUCGAUCUGUUUAAUGUUUCUGUUAGUGCAGCGAACAACUGGCUUUACAGCUGCGGAUGCUUCGUGGGGAAAACGUAGUGAAAAGGUCACUGGUAAUGAUAUAUGCGAGUUGGCCAGAAAAACAUGCAGUCAGUUUAGGAUUGUGAAACAUGAGGAAAAACUUGAGCGUGAAGCAAGAUAUAGCAAUCUGCAAGAUGAAGAUUUCAGUUAAUAUAUGUUUACCAAAAUCAACAAUACAGGCCAAACGAUGAUGAAACUAUGUACUUCACUGUUUAUCUGUAAUAUAGCAAAAUGUUAAGUUCUUAAAGUACAUGUAGUUAAAAAAAUGUUGAUGAAAAAUACUAUAUUUAUGAGAAUA